AUUGAACGCUGGCGGCAGGCCUAACACAUGCAAGUCGGGCGACCGGCGGACGGGAGCGAUAUGUAUGGGUAUCUGCCCGAGGGAUGGCGAUACCUACUGGAAACGGUUGCUACUACCGCACACCAUCAGAUGAACCCAUAUGGGAUUAGCUUGUAGGUAGGGUAACGGCUGACAAAGGCGACGAUCCCUAGCUGGUCUGAGAGGAUGAUCAGCCACACUGGGACUGAGACACGGCCCAGACUCCUCCGGGAGGCAGCAGUGGGGAAUGUUGCACAAUGGGCGCAAACCUGAUGCAGCCAUGCCGCGUGUAUGAAGAAGGCCUGCGGGUUGUAAAGUACUUUCAGUAGGAAAGCGUUACCGACAGAAGAAGCACCGGCUAACUACGUGCCAGCAGCCGCGGUAAUUC
rnacentral:rRNA from 1 species